UCAGCACAGGAAUUUUAGGGGGACACAAACAUUCAGUCCACCAACAACUUUCUAAUUACUAUCUGGACCUUUUCCCACCACCAAGAAAUAAGAACUUUGGCCUGCCUGUCCAAGUUUGAGAAGAGGCUUCUGGGCAGAGAAUUGGAACCAAAGAGCCAAUUACCAAUAAUGUUUUAUUGGAAUUUGUGUCAUCACAUAGACCUUUAAAGGAGCUGAAAGAAAAGGGAUGAAUUAUUCAGUGGUGAAUGGAAAGUUCAUUAUGAGACACAACUUGAACUGAAUGAUCAACUAGAAAAACAAAUUGUUUCUCUAGAAGAGAAAAUGGAAAAAAUCUGUGGAAAUCCUUCAGAUUGUCUUCUAUCUGUGUCUAUGAACAAAUGCCAGUGGAUAGAAGAAAGGGCCUUAAGAAAAGAAAAAAAAACCAACUAAGUAUAUUUGCUUUCAGAAAUACUUAAACACAUUACUUAAAUGGCUAGAAAAAGAGAAAAGAAGCCUUGAAAAUCAAGUGAAAGACUGUGCACUGAGACUGGAACAAGAAUCAAAGGCUUACCACAAGACCAACAAUGAGCGCCGUAGAUACCUAGCUGAAAUGUCUCGGGUAACUUUUGUUGUCUUCCAAAUUUUAAGAGUUUCCUCUUACUGUCUCUGACUCAUACCAAGUUUCUAAAAGGCAACAGAUGGAUCAACUGCCUAGAAUGAAAGAGAAUCUAGUGAAAAUGGGAAGAUAUAAUCCAGUUAAUCAGAAGACAAUGAAUGCCAAGAGAGGACCAGUAAAAAAGAUUACGAGAUCAACCCAUCUUCCAAAACUCAAUCUAUAAUUCUAGAACUGGGUGGAUUUCUAUUUCUUCCCUCUUUUCAUCUAUAAUAUUCAACUUGUGAAGUUAAUGUGGAACACAUUUUCAGGGAAUGAAGUAGACAAGAAAGAGCUAUCGAACUUCUCUUUAGCUCCUCUUCCA